UUCCUGCGUUAGGCAGUCGCUGGCUCGCAAGGGCUAGAGGAAAGUCCGGACACGCCCGAGUUUCGCAAGAAAGUCGGAGCACGGUAGCGGGUAACGCCCGCCGGGGUAAUCCUAGGGAUGCGAACAGAGACGUUUUUUCGCGAGAGCGGAAAAACGCCCUGCGUAGCUUUAUGCGAAGCAGGGCGAGAUUGGGCAGUUAAAGGCUCAAGGUGCAACGGCAAAAAUCCUACCUGCGUGCAAGGUCGUAUCAAAUCGUACCAUCGGUACGGUUAGAAGAACCGCUUGAGGUGAUUGGCAACAAUCAUCCCAGAUAAAUGGCUGUCCUCGACAGAAUCCGGCUUACUAUGCAGAGAUGAA
rnacentral:RNase_P_RNA from 1 species